CCCAUGUAGCCCAGGCUAGCCUCAAACUGGCCUUGAACUCUUGAUUCUCCUGCCUCCACUUUUUAAGUGCUAGGAUUACAAGCAUGUGCCACCUUGACCAGUUUUAUACGGCGCUGGGGCUCAGUAGGCAAGCAUUCUACCAACUGAGCUAUAUCGCUUACCCCCUCACAGAGACUCUAUGCUCCUUUUAUCCAUAGGAAGGAAUGAUUGAAGAAACCUGUGGCUAGUCACAUGUUGAUCUGCCUCAGUCUUAAAGGGAGAAGAGAGAGAGAUUCAGGAAGCUCUGGGGGAUUGAAACGAGCAUGCUAGAUAAGCGCUCUUCUGCUGAGACACAUACCCAGGCUAGGGCCUGGUGUUAUGAGGAGAAGGCCAGUUUGUGGCAGGUUCACUCUGGGAUGGCGCUCCAGGGUAACGGCUUCCACGGAGCAGGCGGCACAGACAGGGUAUGAGGCCCUGGGAGAUGCUGAAGCCGGAAGUGGAGGCCCUUGUCUUGUGGGCAGGAAGUAUGAGGCUAGAUGUGGAUUUCCAAUUCCCACCUUUGCUCGAGCACUUCUAAUUCAUGAAAUGGGAUUGUGAAGACGGACACUACCAAGGGC